UCAAAGUCAAUAUCAUCAUCAAGAGGAUCCAUGCGUUUCAAGAUGGCAGUCGUAGCUGAAUUGUUUCUUCGAGAUUUGGGAUGAGCCGUUGGAGAAAUGUCAAUCUGCCUGUAUCUUUCUAACCAACUUUGGAAGCCGAAAGCCAAAGUGAAACCAUCAGUGUUGUGUUCGCCACCGGGGAACUGAGAACAUGCCCGGACAUCGCCUGAAUCGACUUGAAACCAGCAAUUGAUGUCGAGCAGGCUGGCAACGCUAUGACCAAUCGACUCCAACCAACCUCGGAGACAAGGACACAAAGUUGAUCCAAUGAAGUCAUUCUCCCAGCUACAUUCAUGUGUCAGCUACUGAAAAAUUGACAACCUUAUGCAAGCUUUCUUAAGAUCGAGGGGCGAAGGAAAAUUGGCAACAUUCCUGCACUGCAAGUUUCUGCCAGAG